rnacentral:lncRNA from 1 species
CCCUGGAGAAGGAAAUAGCAACUCACUCCAGUAUUCUUGCCUGGGAAAUCGCACGGACAGAGGAGCCUGGCAAGCUACAGUCCAUGGGGUUGCAAAGAGUCGGCCACGACUGAGCACACACAUAAGCACACACACACGCCUGUGCCCAACACAUUUACCCACUAGUCUUCCUACUACUUUCACCCUCGGAUUUUUAUUUUUCAGCUCUCAUGUAGAAUCCUGCUCAAAAGUAAUCAUAACCUUCAACCCACAUUAUUAUACCAAGUGAGAAUACUGCUGCUCAAUAGAUAUUGCAAUACCAACACUUAAGCAGUGUUUAGGGCUCACUGAAGUCCUGUAAUUUCCUCAAAAUCAACAAAGAAAAAACUAAGUAGGCAUGAAUCACUAGUUUAAUCAUGAUGACAGGGAAUGCUCACACGCUCACUCAAUCACAUCAUUUUACCAUAUUUGUAGCAAGCUCUUUCCUACAUACUGAACACACAGAAGCAAAAAAGACAAAGUUCUUGCUCCAUGAAGCUAACAGUCUAGUGAAAGGCAGAAAAUAAAGGAAUGAAUAAACAUGUAAAAUGCGUCAAGCAGGGAUACAGGGGGAGAUGGAGGAGACACAGCAGACAGGCGGGAUGGAGGGUGAGAGGAGGCUGUGGGCAUUGAACUGAUGAGAAGGAGUUCCCAAGACAUGUCAUUGAGUAUAAGGCAACCUUCCAAUCUGGGAAACACCACCAAGCUUGGCAAGAUGCUCUGCAUCCAUGCUCUACUGCCUCUAGAAGGAGAUAAAGGGGAAAGACGUCUCAAGGCAAAGAAAACUCUGUCCCUCACUCACUAUGGGCUGCUAGUAGUUCAAGCCGCCAGCCAGGAGUCUGGACAGACAUGACCCCCUUAUGUCUAACCAUUGCCCUCUACUCCAGUGAGCUCCCUGACAGAGCACACCGCAUCCGGCAAAAGACCUCGGAUUCAGGAACACAGCCUCCAGGUGAUACUGGGUUAACAGCAGAUAAAUGUACCAACCU